GGAAAAACUUACGUAGCAACUUGUUCACUGUCCUUGCUUGGAUGCAUGGAAAAUGUUUUGACGUUCCUAGUCAUCCGGCCUGUAACAAAUGGAGUUUCCAGAGGAGGUUCUCGCGCAUAUCUUCUCGUACCUACCGCUAUGGGACAGGUACAGCGCCUCCUUGGUGUGCAAGGCGUGGUCCCAAACUAUGACACACCCCUUUGUUUGGUACUACACCGAAGUCAGGUGUGAGUCUGGGGCAGAGGCCCACGGCCUGCCUCAGUUCUGCCAGUUCCUGAGGCUGGCCCGGCACCUGAAGAUCUCCAUCCGGCACCCGAAGGAGGAGUCCGGGCGCGGCAUGGCGGUCCGGGCGCUGGGUCACGCGGCGGGCGCGGGGAGCCGCCUGAGCGCCCUCCGCAUCUCCUGCACGGGCGAGUUCCCGCUCUUCUACUCCGGCGAGGACGUCCUGCAGGGCAUCAGGGCGGCGUUCCUGAGCGAGGCCGGCGGGCUGUCGCUCCGCGAGGUGGACCUCCGGGAGAUGCCCUUCACCCUCAACGACUCGCUGGUGCUCGACGUGGCCCGCAGGAGCCCCGGCCUGCGCCGGCUCUUCAUCAACAACAAGACCCUGGUGUGCAACGUCACCACGGAGACGCUGCGCGAGGUGCUGGGGCUGUGCCCGCAGCUGUGCGCCCUGGGGGCCUUCUACGCCAGCCUGUCGGAGGAGGUGCUGGGCGAACUCCUCCGCCCGGGGAGGGCGCCGUUCUCCCUGCUGGAGCUGUACUGCGAGAGGUCGGACAAGUACGCGCACGUGAUCUCGGACCGGUUCUGGGAGGCCCUGCGGAGGCGCCACCCGGCGCUGGCGGUCAACGUGGUCCUGAACCACACCCUCCCCGCCAGGAUGUUCCUGAAGAUCCUGCAGCCCAGCCUGCCCGUGAGGGACCUGGACCUGGUGACCUUCACCGACCUGGCGAACGAGCUGGCCUUCGCGGCGGGGAACUACGGCGACACGCUGGAGAGGCUGGUGCUGCAGACGUCGGCCCCCGGCGGCGGGCUGGACUCGGCGCUGGUGGGCGUGGCCGAGCGCUGCGCCCGGCUGAGGGAGGUGCACUGCUACUGCGUGGUGUCGCCGCGGGUGAUCGCCGCCUUCCUGGAGCGCUGCCCCCACCUCUGGAGGUACACACUCAAAACCACCAAGGAGCGUCACCCCUGGACCUGCACUGUGCUCAAAUAGGAGAGCGGAGGGGAGAGGGAUGGAGGAAGAGGGAAAGAGGGAGAUGCGGUGGAGCGCGUGCAAGGGAUGGGGGAUGGGUAGAGGGGGAGUGCAAGAUGACACUGUUGUUAUUAGUUUAUGAAAGAAUAAGAACCCCAAUUUCUGCAUUUAAUAUAUUCAUAUAUUUAUCAGUUCUGCAAACAAAUAUUUAUUAGUCUAUAUAAAUAUAAAUGUAAACCCACACACACAUAUCCAGUGAUCACUUUUAUUUUGUCCUUUGUAGCAGGUAAUUCAUUCAGCUGAUAUAUGCCAUGGUUCUCAGUCUCACCAAAGGUGAUGCAGUUCAUUUAAUCAGUUUCCUCUAUUGCAUUGCAUCAUCAAUCAGUGCCAAUGGAAACCUUUUCUUAGCAAAUGGACUUUGACCCACAUGAUAAUCGCUGAUAACUUUGUUUAACCCCUUGUGUCCCGUUUACUUUUUAGCACCUGUGAAACUGUUAGCCUGGGUCAAGUAUACCCGGGACAUUAUUGCGAUUUUAAAGCAAUACAGGAAUAAAAUUUAUGCGAAAUACUCAGUAUAUAAUUAUCUUCAUCUCAAUUCCAAACAUUAUAAACAAUGUAUAUGGUUAAUGGUCGCCAUUCACUUCUGCUAGAUUGCAUUUAACAAUGAAAGUGUCAGUCAUUUUUUGUGAGAAAGAUGUGAUUUAAUUCAGUUUAGCUCUGAAUUACAAACAUUAAAAUACACGUAUGCAGUGGUGUAUGUGUAUACCCAUGGCCAAAUUGCAUAUGUAACACCACCUCUUUAGGUUACAAACUUAAACAUGUUAAUUUGCCUUUGAACUGAGGCGGUGUCCCUUGUUACCUUCUGAAUACAAGUGAGAACAAAGUCUAGUGCCAGUUAUUUAUGGUGCAUACCUAUGUCUUGGUUUUAUAUAUUUGUUUAUGAGAAGCUUAACCCUUUAAGGUGUAAAUUUACAAAUACAUGAUUCGAACGUUCUUAACUGAAUAUUCUAAUGCUGAUGCAACAAUUACUACUGAUAAUUGAAAGCAAUGUAGGCUAGUUCUAGAACACACUGACUUAGAUUUCUGAAAAAAUAUUCCAAAAAACUACUCGUCAAAGGGAUAAGCAAAGGUCGAGUUUCACCAGCGCUUUAGAUUGGUGAUGAGGUGAGAGAGAGAGAUGUGGAGAUGGGUCUCUUCCCUUCACCCGGUUUUUUUUGGUGUUUUUUUUCUUCUUUAAAAUUUGUCCGCAAUAAAUUUCUUCAUUUAUAAUUGCACAUUAAAUUAUUCAAUAAAAUGGGUUGAUGCAAAUGGC